GCCGAUUUGUCCAGCGCCGCCGAGGGCCCGCACUCCGGGGGUGGGGUCGCCAGGGCCCCAUCCAGCUGCGGGAGAGCCCUCUUCCGCCUACCUGGUGAGCCGCAAAGUCGGAGGCCUUGGGAAACACCUGAAGGCCCGGGCUGGCCCUGGUACGUCGUCUUCCUGGAGCUUCCCGACGUCCCAUCAGUGUGCAUCGCGCUGAGAAAACAUCUGGACACCAUUAUUAGCCUCUCAGUGAAAACGUCGGAACAAAAACAUCGAAAGCUGUACGACGGGGAAGGAAAGGUAACCAGCUGGCACCGGGAUGGAUGCAGAAAGCUAUGUGGAAAGGAAAGAGAGAAAAAUGAACUGAACAGUUACUGAAUGCUUACCAUGUAGUAGACAAAUACCGUUAUAUCAUCCUCAACUUCUUUAUCAACGAGUAGAAAACAAAGUUCACUGGAAUCAUGCAACCUCUCAAACCCAUCGAACAAGCGUGUCCACCUCACAGGACGGGUGACGUCUCAGGCCCACUUAGUGUCUGCGGCAUCCUCCGUGGAAAUGCUCGGACUUCAGUGAGAUCUAACCGGUGUGUUCUCCACUUCAACUCAAGCUGACCAGCGCUCCCCUCCGCUUACCUGGUCAGGAUGUGAAGAAGACGAUGCAGGCAUCGCAACAAUUUUUACUGCAUGUUAAGCCACCUGACGCCCCCUCCGUCCUGUUAAAUUAUUCUCCCAGUGACUGUACAACUUCGACCUCUGUGGAAAUUCUUGCUCCUCCCUCUCAACUGAACUUUCCUGCUGCUUAACUGAGACCUCGAGACUCAGGGAACAAUCCUUCAUCUUAUCAUUCCCUCUCCUGUUCAUUUAUCUUAUCUCUGCAGGCAGCUUUCUCUCAUUCCCUCCACUCUCAGAGAAAGUUGUAUGGUCGUUCCUGCUGCAUUUUGAGGUCUCUUUGCAGAGCUAGACUAUAUUUGACUUCAGCUAGGCACAGGAAAGCUCCAGGUAUGUAUUUAUUUGUUUAUUUGGAGCGUACGAAAAUGAUACAAAUCAACCGUAUUUUUAUACCAGUAGCAAACAACUAUGCAUUAAAAUGAAAAACAUCUUUUUAUAUUUA